GACGAACGCGGGCGGCGUGCUUAACACAUGCAAGUCGAACGGUAAGGCUCCAGCUUGCUGGGGUACACAAGUGGCGAACGGGUGAGUAACACGUGGGUGACCUGCCCUGCACUUCGGGAUAAGCCUGGGAAACUGGGUCUAAUACCGGAUAGGACCGCACCGUGAGGGUGUGGUGGAAAGUUUUUUCGGUGUGGGAUGGGCCCGCGGCCUAUCAGCUUGUUGGUGGGGUAAUGGCCUACCAAGGCGGCGACGGGUAGCCGGCCUGAGAGGGUGGACGGCCACAUUGGGACUGAGACACGGCCCAGACUCCUACGGGAGGCAGCAGUGGGGAAUAUUGCACAAUGGGCGGGAGCCUGAUGCAGCGACGCCGCGUGGGGGAUGACGGCCUUCGGGUUGUAAACUCCUUUCACCAUCGACGAAGGGUUUCUGACGGUAGAUGGAGAAGAAGCACCGGCUAACUACGUGCCAGCAGCCGCGGUAAUACGUAGGGUGCGAGCGUCGUCCGGAAUUACUGGGCGUAAAGAGCUCGUAGGUGGUUUGUCGCGUCGUCUGUGAAAUUCCGGGGCUUAACUCCGGGCGUGCAGGCGAUACGGGCAUAACUUGAGUACUGUAGGGGAGACUGGAAUUCCUGGUGUAGCGGUGAAAUGCGCAGAUAUCAGGAGGAACACCGGUGGCGAAGGCGGGUCUCUGGGCAGUAACUGACGCUGAGGAGCGAAAGCAUGGGGAGCGAACAGG
rnacentral:rRNA from 1 species